CUCCGAUAUCUGGUGUUGAUCGGAACAUGGCCUCUCAACUCCCUGAAAAAUGCACUACGGAUUUUCAACCAUGUGAUCUAAAUUAGAAGCGCAAAAGCGUUUACAGAGAGCUCAGUUGAUUUUUAGGCGUAACACUAUUGUUGAAGUAAUGCUGCUUAGAAUAAUAAAUUGUUGAGAUUAUGUACUGAAAUCCAGUAGGAUUAUUAUCUAAUUUUUGUUACUUUCUUUUUUUUUAUAAAGAAAAAACUCUUUUGAGUGAUGAUUGAAA